CGAAGGAUGCAAGCGUUAUCCGGAUUCAUUGGGUUUAAAGGGUGCGUAGGCGGACUGAUAAGUCAGUGGUGAAAUUUCUCAGCUUAACUGAGAAACUGCCAUUGAUACUGUUAGUCUAGAGUAUAGAUGACGUUGGCGGAAUAUGACAUGUAGUGGUGAAAUACUUAGAUAUGUCAUAGAACACCGAUUGCGAAGGCAGCUAACGAAACUAUAACUGACGCUGAGGCACGAAAGUGCGGGGAUCAAACAGGAUUAGAUACCCUGGUAGUCCGCACCGUAAACGAUGAUUACUCGUUGUUGGCAAUAUGACCGUCAGCGACCAAGCGAAAGCGAUAAGUAAUCCACCUGGGGAGUACGCCGGCAACGGUG
rnacentral:rRNA from 1 species